UACUUUCCAAUACAAAUUUGUAACAGAACUUUGCUAUCAUGUUAGCUGCAAAAUGAAAUGCUAAUUGAUUUAAAAAAUGGUAUCACGACCUUCCCUCAGGUGAUGCUGUUAUCACAUCAAUUGGUGUAUAUUGUUUGCAGUAAUUGUUUCAGAUUUCUUUAUUGAUUUUUAUGUUUUCCAGAUUGUUAAUUUUAAUACUAUUAGCCUCUAUGAAAUGCAUGAAUAUUUUGUCAUGUAAAUAAGGACAAGGGUAGGAAUCCAGUCAUAUAGAUGAAACCCACAGUGUUGAUUUAUUAUUAAUACUGGAAGGUCACCAUCUGGACAAUCCCAUAAAAUAAUGCAUCUGCAUUGCUGCUAAAUGGGAGCUUUAACAUCUGGAUCGUGUUAUUCCAAAUUUUCCUCAUCCACCCAUCAUAGCAAGAGGAAUUUCCUGACAAAUCAGAUUGCUGCCCAAAGGUAAAAUGUUUUUCUCAUUAGCGUACUUUAAAUGAGCUCAAAAAGACCUAGAAAUGAAGUCAGCAUCAGCGUCAUAAACAACUUUCCCAUUUCUAAUUAUGCAGAUUAAAUAGGUCAUACAAGCACCAACUGAAAAACGUCCAUCUGUCCUCUGCUUGCCUCACAACCCCUCCCCCCCAAACUGAGAGAAUAAGAAUGCCUAUCACCAACAAAUUCAGCAGAAGAGCAUGCUUCCACUACCUUUUCCAUCUUACAGCAUACGGUGAAAACUGCAUACAUAAAGAAAAUAGCUGUGUAAUAACUAGAUUUAUUGUGGGAGACUGACCUUACUAGAACUUGUUAACUUGGCAGCGCAAGCUACCUAGCUCUCUAAAAAUCUAGUUUAUUUUGAUGUAGAGAUAUUCAAAUACUCAAAAACAUAUGCAUGGAAGAAAUAAUAAAUCGGCUAUUUGGGUUUCUUUAAGGUUUAAAUUAAUAUGCUUAUACAUGAUAGUACAUUGGAAAUUGGCAAGGAUUUCAAUAUUAAGUAAAUCAAACAACCUUAUUUUCAAGAUUUGCCUCAUUAGUUAGGUAUAGAAAACAAUGCUGUCAUAAAUAUGCUGCUUCAUCUUUCAAUUAUAUUCCACAGUAAGUUCUCAUUACUGCCAGAUGAUUACAUGGCUGCCACAUGAUGCAAGAUACAUAAUCAGUAAAAUGGGCAACUAGGCAACUGUAUAUGGGACAAGAAGUAAGGCUUUUGUGUUUGAAAUUGUUCUGAGACCAUUAAAAAUCUGCGUAUCUCAGAUAUUUCAGGAUUUCUAUUGUACCAGGGGAGAACAACAUUGUCCACGUAUAUUUAUUUUUCAUUAAUGGACAGCUUUCAUCAGCAAGCAAAUUGCAUUAUAAGAAUCAGAUGAGUACCUGGUAGUUAGAAUUUCCUUUGGGAGAACACAGAUUCAGAACACUAAUAAGCUUUUUCCUUCCUUCCCCAUUUGAUAUGCUAGACUCCGGCCUUUAUGUUGAGAAAAAUUGAUAGAAUAGUCUUGGACAGGACAGAAUGUUUUUUUCAAGGAUGAUAAUUCUCUGACUAGCUCUCUUUGUUGCCAUCCUAGAGCACAUAAUGCAGUUGCAAAUAUAUAAUUGCCUGCAUCUCACUGCAUUAGAGGAGUGCAAAAUUUGUGAGCAAAAUGGAGAAAUGAGAGCAUUAUGUGAGCACAGAUGAAAACCUAUUGAGAAACCGGGUUUGUACAAUGUGAAUUAGCAGAACACAGGCUCCAUAUUUAUUUCUGAAAAUCUCAAAUAACAAUAGAGAAUUUUCAAAAAUAGCUGAGGAAAGAUCGUUUUCUCUAACUACUUCCUCAUCAUACAGACAUUAACCCCAAACUGCCACCUACCAUCUAGAAGAAAAAGUGGCCUGCAUUUUAUUUCAGUCCAAGACUUACUAGAAAAACCCCUCCCUUAUUUUUUGUCUCCCUCCCAUGCCAAGGUCAUGACAUGGUACUUUAGAUGUAGCCACCUGGUAAAGGGCAAACUCUUCCCUCUUGCCAAAAUUAUCCACAGCUGAGCCUCUGUUGCUUUGCUGCAACUUUUUGCUCUUGCCUCUUUGAAAUAGGAGCCUUUUUGAGCGAGUUGGUUUUUUUCAGGAGGACUUUUUACAUUCUCAAGAAGCCUGGAUAAAGCUCUUUUGGAAGGUACAGGCUGGUGCUGUUUCUUUUGUAUCUAGUGCUGUCUUUGGUCAAAAAGACUGAAGAGGUUACUUUUCUGCUCCAACUUCCUCCUGUGAACAUUUAACCAAGGUUUUGAGGGCAGCUCUGCCCACAUCUGCUCUUCUUGGGUAUUCAAAUCUCCCAACAAGGUCUCCCAUGUUGCUUGGUCUCUGUGUCUGCAACUUCCGGAAUCACAGAAGAGACUGCCUGAAGUUUUACUACCGUAUUUGUGAGAAGGAAAAGGAUGGGACAAAGAGGAAUAAUGUUAAGAAGUGAGAAUAAACA